UUCCUCAAGGUAUCGGAAGUAGGGGGGUCUUUCCACAAAAUUUUUUAACGUGAGGGGUUGGGU
rnacentral:antisense_RNA from 1 species